GGUUGAUCCUGCCAGUAGUCAUAUGCUUGUCUAAAAGAUUAAGCCAUGCAUGUCUAAGUAUAAACAACUUUAUACUGUAAAACUGCGAACGGCUCAUUAUAUCAGCAAUAAUUUAUUUGAUGUUUAUUUGCUACAUGGAUAACUGUAGUAAUUCUAGAGCUAAUACAUGCGUAAAGUCCUGACUCUCACGGGGAGGGAUGUAUUUAUUAGAUAAAAAACCAAUGCGGGUUAUGCUCGCUAUUGUGUCGAAUCAUAGUAAACAAUCCAACGGUACGGCCUUGUGCUGACCGUGG
rnacentral:rRNA from 1 species